rnacentral:lncRNA from 1 species
AAUCAUCACUAAUAACAAAAUAUAAUUGAAUUUGUUCCCCUGAAUUAUAUGUAAGGUUAUAUAAGACUUACAUUUGAAAUGAAUAUUGCCGUCCAGGUGAAAGCAUUCACACAAGAAUUCAGAGAGCAGACCAGUUUUUUUCAGUAAUGAAGCUCAGAGCAAUUUCGCAGCUUGAAUUGGUAAGAACCCAUCUAACAUUUCUGUUUCGAAGCUCCCCUGAACCAGUACAUACAAAUUCCAUUAUUUUCAUGUAUGUUAUACCAUGCUGAAAGAAAUACUUCACAACAUAUAUUUACACCACGCCCAUGCGCCAAAACCCAUUGACUAAACCAAAACUUCUGGUUCAUGGUUCCAGAAACAACUCAAUCUUAAACACCAAUUUUCUUUUCUUUGGCCCCAAAGAAAAGGAAAAUCUUAAACUCAGAGGCACUUCUACACCAUGAUUUAGCGACACCCAAAUGAAAGAACUGCAAUUACUACAGCACAACAAACCCCAUUUUGCAAAAUCAAAUCCUAGAAAUGUAGAACAUCUAGUUUUAAGGCAUCUCUGCACCAUAAUCUAGCAAACUCUCAAUUGAAAAACACAAGUUGCAGUGUAAUUUUCAUCAUUGAAGUUUCCACAAUUCAUAGGACACGGACAAGCACUCGCACUCCAGAGAACAUUCACAUUUUUAAUGGGUUAUGAGAAAAAUACGGGACGUUGGGCAAACUGCCUUUAAAAAAACUAGACAGAGAGAGAGCGAGGAAAGUUGAAGCCACAGUUAAUUUAUAAAAAUCUGGUUUAAAGGCCAAGUGAGCACGGACUCGAAUUUAUGUUUAAAUAAAGAUAAAGCAGCAAACGUAUUUGCGAGCAACUGUACGUAUACUCUCUUGGUCAUCAAGUUAUUAUGGAGUUUUUUUUUAAUCUCAA